AUACGUAGGUGGCAAGCGUUGUCCGGAAUUACUGGGCGUAAAGGGCGUGUAGGCGGGGGAACAAGUCGGAUGUGAAAAACCAUGGCUUAACUGUGGCGCUGCAUCUGAAACUGUUUUUCUUGAGUGCUGGAGAGGAAAGUGGAAUUCCCAGUGUAGCGGUGAAAUGCGUAGAGAUUGGGAGGAACACCAGUGGCGAAGGCGGCUUUCUGGACAGUAACUGACGCUGAGGCGCGAAAGCGUGGGGAGCAAACAGGAUUAGAUACCCUGGUAGUCCACGCCGUAAACGAUGGAUACUAGGUGUAGGAGGUAUCGACCCCUUCUGUGCCGGAGUAAACACAAUAAGUAUCCCGCCUGGGGAGUACGACCGCAAGGUUGAA
rnacentral:rRNA from 1 species